GAUGAACGCUGGCGGCGUGCCUAAUACAUGCAAGUCGAGCGAACGGACGAGAAGCUUGCUUCUCUGAUGUUAGCGGCGGACGGGUGAGUAACACGUGGAUAACCUACCUAUAAGACUGGGAUAACUUCGGGAAACCGUAGCUAAUACCGGAUAAUAUUUUGAACCGCAUGGUUCAAAAGUGAAAGACGGUCUUGCUGUCACUUAUAGAUGGAUCCGCGCUGCAUUGGCUAGUUGGUAAGGUAACGGCUUACCAAGGCAACGAUGCAUAGCCGACCUGAGAGGGUGAUCGGCCACACUGGAACUGAGACACGGUCCAGACUCCUACGGGAGGCAGCAGUAGGGAAUCUUCCGCAAUGGGCGAAAGCCUGACGGAGCAACGCCGCGUGAGUGAUGAGGGUCUUCGGAUCGUAAAACUCUGUUAUUAGGGAAGAACAUAUGUGUAAGUAACUGUGCACAUCUUGACGGUACCUAAUCAGAAAGCCACGGCUAACUACGUG
rnacentral:rRNA from 1 species